GAUGAACGCUGGCGGCGUGCCUAAUACAUGCAAGUCGAGCGGUAAGGCCUCUUCGGAGGUACACGAGCGGCGGACGGCUGAGUAACACGUAGGAACGUACCCCAAAGUGAGGAAUAAGCACCAGAAAUGGUGUCUAAUACCGCAUGUGCUCUAAGGAGUAAAGCUUCGGCGCUUUGGGAACGGCCUACGCAUGAUUAGCUUGUUGGUGAGGUAAAAGCUCACCAAGGCGACGAUCAUUAGCUGGUCUGAGAGGAUGAUCAGCCAGACUGGGACUGAGACACGGCCCAGACUCCUACGGGAGGCAGCAGUAGGGAAUUUUCCACAAUGGGCGAAAGCCUGAUGGAGCAACGCCGCGUGCAGGAUGAAUGCCUUCGGGUUGUAAACUGCUUUUAUAUGUGACGAUUAUGACGGUAGCAUAUGAAUAAGGAUCGGCUAACUCCGUGCCAGCAGCCGCUUAA
rnacentral:rRNA from 1 species